rnacentral:rRNA from 1 species
AUAGAGUUUGAUCCUGGUCUCAGGAUGAACGCUAGCGGCAGGCCUAACACAUGCAAGUCGAACGGUAACAGGGAUUGCUUGCAAUCCGCUGACGAGUGGCGCACGGGUGCGUAACGCGUAUACAAUCUACCUUUUGCUGAGGGAUAGCCCAGGGAAACUUGGAUUAAUACCACAUAGUAUAUGGAAGUGACAUCACUAUCAUAUUAAAGGUUACGGCAAAAGAUGAGUAUGCGUCCUAUUAGCUAGAUGGUGCGGUAACGGCACACCAUGGCGACGAUAGGUAGGGGCCCUGAGAGGGGGAUCCCCCACACUGGUACUGAGACACGGACCAGACUCCUACGGGAGGCAGCAGUGAGGAAUAUUGGGCAAUGGAGGCAACUCUGACCCAGCCAUGCCGCGUGCAGGAAGACUGCCCUAUGGGUUGUAAACUGCUUUUAUACAGGAAGAAACCGCUCUACGUGUAGAGCCUUGACGGUACUGUAAGAAUAAGGAUCGGCUAACUCCGUGCCAGCAGCCGCGGUAAUACGGAGGAUCCAAGCGUUAUCCGGAAUCAUUGGGUUUAAAGGGUCCGUAGGUGGAUAAUUAAGUCAGAGGUGAAAUCCUGCAGCUCAACUGUAGAAUUGCCUUUGAAACUGGUUAUCUUGAGUUAUUAUGAAGUAGUUAGAAUAUGUAGUGUAGCGGUGAAAUGCAUAGAUAUUACAUAGAAUACCAAUUGCGAAGGCAGAUUACUAAUAAUAUACUGACACUGAUGGACGAAAGCGUGGGGAGCGAACAGGAUUAGAUACCCUGGUAGUCCACGCCGUAGACGAUGGUUACUAGCUGUUCGGACUUCGGUCUGAGUGGCUAAGCGAAAGUGAUAAGUAACCCACCCUGGGGAGUACGUUCGCAAGAAUGAAACUCAAAGG